GAUGAACGCUGGCGGCGUGCCUAAUACAUGCAAGUCGAGCGAACAGACGAGGCUCUUUCUCCUCUGACUUUAGCGGCGGACGGGUUAGUCACACGUGGAUAACCUACCUAUUAGACUUGGAUACCUUCGGGAAACCGUAGCUAAUACCGGAUAAUAUAUUGCACCGCAUUGUUCAAUAGUGAAAUACGGUUUUUCUGUCACUUAUAGAUUGCUCCGCCCCGAAUUAGCUAGUUGUUUAGGUGACGGCUUACCCAGGCUACGAUGCCUACCCGACCUGAGAGGGUGAACGGCCACACUGGAACUGAGGAAGGGUAGAGACUCCUACGGGAGGCAGCAGUAGGGAAUCUUACGCAAUGGGCGAGAGCCUGACGGAGCAAAGCCGCGUAAGUGAUGAAGGUGUUAGGAUCGUAGAACUAUGUUAUUAGGAAAGAACAAAUGUGUAAGUAACUAUGCACGUAUUGACGGUACCGAGUCAGAAAGCCACGGCUAACUACGUG
rnacentral:rRNA from 1 species